rnacentral:rRNA from 1 species
UUCCGUAGGUGAACCUGCGGAAGGAUCAUUACAGAGUUCAUGCCCUUACGGGUAGAUCUCCUAUCCUUGAAUAUUAUACCUUUGUUGCUUUGGCGGGCCGCUUCGGCUGCCGGCUUCGGCUGGUGAGUGCCCGCCAGAGGACCCUAAACUCUGAAUUACAGUGUCGUCUGAGUACUAUAUAAUAGUUAAAACUUUCAACAACGGAUCUCUUGGUUCUGGCAUCGAUGAAGAACGCAGCGAAAUGCGAUAAGUAAUGUGAAUUGCAGAAUUCAGUGAAUCAUCGAAUCUUUGAACGCACAUUGCGCCCCCUGGUAUUCCGGGGGGCAUGCCUGUUCGAGCGUCAUUAUAACCCUCAAGCCUAGCUUGGCGUUGGGGCCUGUCGUCAGACAGCUCUUAAAAUCAGUGGCGGUGCCUGUAGGCUCUACGCGUAGUAAUUUUUCUCGCGACGGAGUCCUGUAGGAUACUUGCCAACAACCCCUAAUUUUCUAUGGU